rnacentral:tRNA from 1 species
GCGGAAGUAGCUCAGUUGGUAGAGCACAACCUUGCCAAGGUUGGGGUCGCGGGUUCGAAUCCCGUCUUCCGCUC